CAGUCGCCGCGGGAAUACGUAGGGUGCAAGCGUUAAUCGGAAUUACUGGGCGUAAAGCGUGCGCAGGCGGUUAUAUAAGACAGAUGUGAAAUCCCCGGGCUCAACCUGGGAACUGCAUUUGUGACUGUAUAGCUAGAGUACGGCAGAGGGGGAUGGAAUUCCGCGUGUAGCAGUGAAAUGCGUAGAUAUGCGGAGGAACACCGAUGGCGAAGGCAAUCACCUGGGCCUGUACUGACGCUCAUGCACGAAAGCGUGGGGAGCAAACAGGAUUAGAUACCCCAGUAGUCCCUGUCUCUUAUAC
rnacentral:rRNA from 1 species